UGAGUACGAGCUGCUACGGCAGCGAAGUGGGUGAUGUCAUGCUUCCAAGAAAAGCCCUAUACCCGUUAAGGCAUGAUGGCCUGUACCCGAAACCGACACAGGUGGGGUGGUAGAGAAUACCGAGGGGCGCGAGGUAACUCUCUCUAAGGAACUCGGCAAAAUGGCCCCGUAACUUCGGGAGAAGGGGUGCCACCGCAAGGUGGUCGCAGUGAAGAGGCCCAGGCGACUGUUUACCAAAAACACAGGUCUCCGCUAAGUCGCAAGACGAUGUAUGGGGGCUGACGCCUGCCCAGUGCCGGAAGGUUAAGGAAGCUGGUCAGCGUAAGCGAAGCUAGCGACUGAAGCCCCGGUGAACGGCGGCCGUAACGAUAACGGUCCUAAGGUAGCGAAAUUCCUUGUCGGGUAAGUUCCGACCCGCACGAAAGGCGUAACGAUCUGGGCGCUGUCUCGGAGAGAGGCUCGGCGAAAUAGAAUUGUCUGUGAAGAUGCGGACUACGUGCACCCGGACAGAAAGACCCUAUGAAGCUUUACUGUAGCUUGGUAUUGUGCUCGGGCUCGGAAUGCGCAGGAUAGGUGGGAGGCUAUGAACCAUUGCUUGUGGGUGAUGGUGAGCCACUGGUGAGAUACCACUCUUUCCGAGCUAGAGUUCUAACAGCCACCCGUUAUCCGGGGGCUGGACAGUAUCAGGUGGGCAGUUUGACUGGGGCGGUCGCCUCCUAAAAGGUAACGGAGGCGCGCAAAGGUUUGCUCAGGCUGGUUGGAAAUCAGCCGACGAGUGUAAAAGCAGAAGCAAGCUUGACUGUGAGACCUACAAGUCGAACAGGGAGGAAACUCGGCUUUAGUGAUCCGACGGUUCUGCGUGGAAGGGCCGUCGCUCAACGGAUAAAAGUUACUCUAGGAUAACAGGCUGAUCUCCCCCAAGAGUUCACAUCGACGGGGAGGUUUGGCACCUCGAUGUCGGCUCAUCGCAACCUGGGGCUGAAGUCGGUCCCAAGGGUUGGGCUGUUCGCCCAUUAAAGCGGUACGCGAGCUGGGUUCAGAACGUCGUGAGACAGUUCGGUCCAUAUCCGGUGCAUGCGCAGGAAUAUUGAGAGGAUUUCUCCCUAGUACGAGAGGACCGGGAGGAACGCACCUCUGGUGUACCAGUUAUCGUGCCAACGGUAAACGCUGGGUAGCCAUGUGCGGAGAGGAUAACCGCUGAAAGCAUCUAAGUGGGAAGCCCACCUCAAGAUGAGUAUUCCCAUGGGGUAACCCAGUAAGGUCACGGGAAGAACACCCGUUGAUAGGCUCUACGUGGAAGCGCAGUAAUGUGUGAAGCGGAGGAGUACUAAUAGACCGAGGGCUUGACC
rnacentral:rRNA from 1 species